GAUCAUGCUCAGGAUGAACGCUAGCUACAGGCUUAACACAUGCAAGUCGAGGGGCAGCAUGGUCUUAGCUUGCUAAGGCCGAUGGCGACCGGCGCACGGGUGAGUAACACGUAUCCAACCUGCCGUCUACUCUUGGACAGCCUUCUAGAAAGGAAGAUUAGUACAAGAUGGCAUCAUGAGUCCGCAUGUUCACAUGAUUAAAGGUAUUCCGGUAGACGAGUGGGG
rnacentral:rRNA from 1 species